GGUUUUAUAGUUUAUACAAAAUAUUAGCCUGCAAUGCUAAAGAAAUCUCAGAUUAAAACUU
rnacentral:tRNA from 1 species